GGGACAGGGGGGGCAAAGCUGGGUGGACCUAAAGCAGCAGCAGCUGCAGCUCUUAUCACCAUUUGAGAAGACUCCUAUGGACCUGAGGACGGCCACAGCUGCACGCAAACUCAUCUCCUGCAGGAUGUGAUCACCCUGCGUCAAGGAAAACUGUAAACAGUCCUGCGGCUCUCCUCCACGCUUGCUAAAGGUACAAAGUGUGAAGCCACGACUAAAGUUUCUCCUCUCGUGGAGCCCUGUCACUUCUGUCGUUUCAUCACGUUUAGGUUUUCCAGAACGGCCAAAAUACAGUCGAAGGAAAAAGAUAAAGCUACAUUUGUGCAGCACUGGCACAAAUUCAGAGCCAGAAACAGACAGAAACAUAAACUACAAGAAUUCCUCCAUAAAUUUAACGAAAUAAAACCUAACAUUUCUCGACAUGAAGCCCGCGUCCAGCUGCCCUUUGACCCCCCCGUCUUUCCCUCCCUGUAAUUUCACACUCUGAAUGACAAGCGUCCGCCCGAAGCUCGUCCUCAGACCGGCUGACCCUCUCGCUUCACGCAGACGUCACGUAAAAAAGAAAUAAAGGCCGGCCGCUUCAGACCAACGGGCCUGGAGUUAAAACGAGCGGCGGGGCUUUUAUGGCGCAGCCGCUGCACCGCAGCAAUUAGGUCCCGGCUGUAACUUUCAUCUUUCCACAAAAAGGGAGGAAUAAUAUGAGAGAAAUCCACACACCCAGARAAGGCACGAAGUUUAAGGGUUCUCAAAUGAACUUGGCAGAGUUCAAAAGGGACCCUCAUGGGGAGAAAAAAAGUGCAAAUGGAUGCUAAAACCAAUAAACUACUGUUUUUUUAACCAGCGUUAUUUGUUUGAAAGGGAUUUCUUACAUUUAUUUGAUUGGCAGACAGAAUAAACAACACAAAUCUAAAACCACUUUCCCUGAGUUCAACUAAAUCUGUGUCACUGAGGCCUGCAGCACUUCUGCUUGUUUUUACAACAAUGCCUUGACKAAAUAAGCACCUUUUAUUGUUCCACUCGGGAAACUUUUUAAAGGACGACCCCUCCCACAGCUCAGCAAAGACACCCUGCCCUUACGAGACCUAAACCUCCCGGGCAUGCUCACAAAAAAAAAAAAAAAAA